AUAAGAUCGUGCGGGCAUUGUCUCUUCAAGACCUUAAAUCUCCUCCAAACCUCACUCAAGCUUUCAAGACCUUCUUGUGUUAAACUCUUGAAUUUGUCUCCUUAUCUU